UUUAUCAAAUAUUUUGUCAAGACAAUAUUUAUUUAUCAUAAAAAUCAAAUCCAUUUUCUGUAGUUUCCAUCUCUCUUAGCCUGCCUGUGAACCUGUGCCUCUGCAUUCGAUGGGUUAAAGAGCUCUUUGCUGAAUGGAUUUAUAAACAGAAAUUUGAACACAGUGGUUUAACAAGUGAGAUAGAAAUACAUCUUCUUCUAUAUCCUACCUGCCCCUUCUGGCUUUUCUGUUUUUCCGAAAGGCACUACUCAUUCUUUGGCCUAUCAGCAUGGAGCCAUCUAUGAACACUCUUCUUUCUUUGCUCCCAUAAUCCACUGGCAGAAAAUUUUAAAACUCAGAAGUACAAAAAAUAAAUGUGAAUGUUUACCUUCACUUCUCCAUCCUCAAAAAUACUCAAACAAUAGGAGAACUAAAAACAACAACAAGAAAGUAAACCUCAAAAUACAUUUAAUCAAAAGUAAGAGAAAAAAGAAACCCAAGAAAAUCCCAGAUUUCUUUUAA
rnacentral:lncRNA from 1 species